rnacentral:rRNA from 1 species
UACGUAGGGGCGAGCGUUGUCCGGAUUUAUUGGGCGUAAAGAGCGCGUAGGUGGUUCGUAAAGUCGGAUGUGAAAGUCCAGGGCUCAACCCUGGGAUGCCAUUCGAUACUUGCGAACUGGAGCACGGUGGGGGGAUCGUGGAAUUCCUGGUGUAGCGGUGAAAUGCGCAGAUAUCAGGAAGAACACCCGUGGCGAAGGCGGCUCUCUGGGACGGUACUGACGCUGAGACGCGAAAGCGUGGGGA